rnacentral:rRNA from 1 species
GUCGACCGCCUGGGGAGUACGGCCGCAAGGUUAAAACUCAAAUGAAUUGACGGGGGCCCGCACAAGCGGUGGAGCAUGUGGUUUAAUUCGAUGCAACGCGAAGAACCUUACCUACUCUUGACAUCCAGAGAACUUAGCAGAGAUGCUUUGGUGCCUUCGGGAACUCUGAGACAGGUGCUGCAUGGCUGUCGUCAGCUCGUGUUGUGAAAUGUUGGGUUAAGUCCCGCAACGAGCGCAACCCUUAUCCUUUGUUGCCAGCGGUUAGGCCGGGAACUCAAAGGAGACUGCCAGUGAUAAACUGGAGGAAGGUGGGGAUGACGUCAAGUCAUCAUGGCCCUUACGAGUAGGGCUACACACGUGCUACAAUGGCGCAUACAAAGAGAAGCGACCUCGCGAGAGCAAGCGGACCUCAUAAAGUGCGUCGUAGUCCGGAUUGGAGUCUGCAACUCGACUCCAUGAAGUCGGAAUCGCUAGUAAUCGUGGAUCAGAAUGCCACGGUGAAUACGUUCCCGGGCCUUGUACACACCGCCCGUCACACCAUGGGAGUGGGUUGCAAAAGAAGUAGGUAGCUUAACCUUCGGGAGGGCGCUUACCACUUUGUGAUUCAUGGCUGGGGUGAAGUCGUAACAAGGUAGCC